rnacentral:rRNA from 1 species
GGACGGGUGAGUAACACGUUGAUAACCUACCUAUAAGACUGGGAUAACUUCGGGAAACCGGAGCUAAUACAGGAUAAUAUUUUGAACCGCAUGGUUCAAAAGUGAAAGAAGGUCUUGCUGUCACUUAUAGAUGGAUCCGCGCUGCAUUAGCUAGUUGGUAAGGUAACGGCUUACAAAGGCAACGAUGCAUAGCCGACCUGAGAGGGUGAUCGGCCACACUGGAACUGAGACA